AUUUUCACGCACAGAUUUCACUAUUUUACGUGAUGUCUAUCAUGACAGCACACUUUUGCAUUGUCAUAACCGCCGUGUUGCAGUGUAAAUUGAUAAGUAAUGAGUUGCUUUGAGACCUGGGGAAAUAAAAUGAUUUGGAGAUGUCUCUAAAUUGCAUGUCUUGGGACUCCAGAGACUCUCACUGCUUGCUAAUGGGGCCAUGAUGAUUUAAAAUUAUGUGUCACUUAGGGGUGUUUUCGUAAAAUUAUGAUAAAAACCUUGAAAUAAGAUCCGAGUAGGGAUCCCAUAUAAUUAAUUGCCCAAUGAGGUGUCUCUCUCCUAGUUUUAAUUUAAAUAUUCUUGUAAUUGCCUCUUUGCAUGAUGUUUUCCAGAAUGGUUCAGGUAAACCGGCAUAACAAUGCAACUCUGAUACACAUUGCUAUACCGCUGUGCCACAGCUAAAACAACUAUCAUCACCAUUAUCAUCCAUGUUCAAUCCACUGCUGGAUGAAAGCCUAUCCAAGAUGUGUGGGUCAUGAGGGUUAUUUGACCAUAUAUCACCACUCUGGCCAUUGUUGGCUUGUGAAGUAGUGUGCCAAGAACCAGUUCAGAUACUACUAAUCGCCGAUGUUAACCAUGGCCGGGAGUUUAACUCUGGUGGCCUGGUUUGCGUUCAGUGCGCUAACCUCUGUGCUACAGUUCGCCCUGCUAUAAGAAUAUUGAUGAUAAGACUCGUCCUGAUAAUUUGGAGAGGGUUGCCCUUUGCUGUACUGGAUGCAUCUCAAGAAUUCUAACACGAGGAAGUAAAAGAAAGUAUAUAUAUUUUUUUAUCAACAAUGCAUUGUUGUUGUGCUGUGGUGCAAAUGGAAAAGCCUUGUCAAACGAUGAUUUCGGGGCAAUCUGGUCUGUGUUGACACUGAAAGAAAAUGUGGUAAUACGAAGUGGCAGAAGAUGUUCCUGUCUUUUUGGAUAGUUUCUGCUGACUCGUAAGGUCUAAGAGGUGACCGCUGCAAGCACUUUUUGUUUGCUAGCAGAACAAACAAUAAGAGGAGUUACUCCCUGGGAAAUUAAAACCCUCUCUUUGUUUCAGCACUUUCCUCUCGUUAUAAUGCAAAUAAUCAUAAAAGUAAGUACUAUUUUCUGUUCAAGCGCUUUUUUCUCCCUAUAAUCCAUCAUCAUCAUCACGAGCCAUGGUCAAUCGACUGUUGAUGGAGGAGUCCCGCAGCCCCUGGCCACCCCAGCCAUGGCGGCUACGUAUGGUGCCAAAGAAGUUCAACAUACGUACAUACACCUCUCGAAAUCCAAUUCGCUCGGAUUAUUGUGCUACAGUUAUUUUAGUAAGGUUACCCUUCUAUUUAUUAAAAAAUACACGUUGUUAUAGGUUGUGUUUUACCAGCGAUUUAAAGAGGCGUUGCUCCUUGGUUUGUUCAGGGACGAAAAUCAGUCCACCUACCUGGUAUAUUUCUGGCAGUUGAUAUUCAUUCAACGCAUGCUCCGAUUGAUGCGAAUAUCUGAAAUGCUUUGUUAUUUUGACAGUUGUGAGCCAGUAAUACGUCUCACUUUAAGCUAUAAUUGCACCACAGGCUGCUUUAAGGAAAACAGGCCCUGGGAGAGCUUUUUUUGACUUAUGAUUAUUGUCUUAAAUUAUUUCCAUGUGUUGUUUGUUUACGUUUGCGCAAUGAGCCUCCAAAUUUGUGGUAUUUAAACUGUCCUCGUUGGACGCGAGGCGAGGCAUUAUGCGUUACAAACAUCUGGUUUUGUCUCUGCAAGCUGCUGGACUGGCUGUAUGUAAGCUUCAUAUUUUCCAGCUGACAGACCACCGUAAACAAACACUGUGCACUCAACACAGCGACAAAAAAAACAUCACGUCAUUAGAAAGAAUUGUAGGUCACUGAGAAUUUAGUGAAAAAAAAGUUAUUUCAUUUUCAAGAGAGGCAGUCUGCAGGGUAAUAACAUCAAUUCUCACGGGACUAGUAAAUGGCAUGCAAAACUGUGAUGGAUGUUUACUUCCCAAAGCCAGGACGAUAUGAACAAUACCAUGUUUGCCUUUCUCCCUACACACACGUAUGUGUGUGUUUCCCCAUAGGGAAGCGAUAUCGUAGUGGCUAAUACGCGACUCUACAUACUCGGCGACCUGAGUUCGAUUCCUGCUUAUGGUAAAAAAAAAUCAGCGAUGACUAUCUGAACUGGUCUUGGGCUUUCCCCUAGGUUGACUCAGCCUUAAAUGAUUACCUGGUGCAGUGUGUCCAUGUGUUCUGUACAGAGCCUAUUUCGUACACAUGCAGAGCUACUGUAGGCCUAUGUCUCGGGUGUUAGAUUGAGUGCUUGCAUGUACCCAGAUGGGUUUUUACAACAAAUAUACACCUCCGAUGUGUUUAUGCGUUACACCGCAACGUUGUUCGGAAUUUUCUUUCCACGUUUACCUCCACAAAGAAGUUCCCAGCAGAGGGAGUGCAACGUCGGACACCAGGCGUGUCGGACAACACUCGUUGGUUCAGCUCAACGGCGUGAAAUCUACGCGGGGAGUUUUCUUUUUCUUUUUUACAAAGAAUCCUUCCAUCUCGCAAUCGCGAAUCGAUGACGUUGCCUACAGGGGGAAUGAAUAAAUAGCACAAAUUUAAAUUUUGAAAUGUAACACGUGCACCUUACUUUUUUUCAGCCCCUUGGGAGCAGAACCCUCCAGGAAGGAGCGUGAGGAGUGUUGGAGAGGUGCCGCGCAACAUUAGCUCAGCACCUCCGCUGAGAUGAGCAGAAUUGUCACUCCGGCAAACGAUACUAUCGUGGUCACUUGAGUUCUCGCCUGGUUAAACAAGAUUACUGGGUGACUUUCUGGUGGAGGGGAGUUCAUUUCUGGAGAGAAAAAUAAGAGUGGGGCUCUAAGUGUGCCAGUAUAUUGUGUACGCACUCAAGCAAGCAUUCAAAUGGCCCCUCGAUCUGUCACAGGCAUGAGAUCUUAACGACAGAUUCCAGUAAAAAGGAGAAGGAUAUCCAGAAACGGCGAAGCACUGCGAGUAAUGAUUGGAGCGAGUGCUGCGCAAUGGGGAACACACGGACGUCGCCAUGGGGACGACCCUGCGAUUGACGGAUGAUCUCGCAGCGUGGCCGACGCUUCCUGUAAUCAAGGUGUCAGCGUUCAAUUUGAUGCGACGCCUGAUCACCUCUCAUUAAUUUGCUCCAAAAAAAAGGGGGCGGUGGGGGAGGGGUGAGAGGCGAAGAGAGCCCGGAUGUAAAAUGCGUCAUCAUUAAAACGUGUGCGCAUAAAAAACACAAGAGAGGAUGCCUUUUUGUUGUUUUUAAAUGCGUAAGUGCGCGGCGUUUCAACGAAGGGAUUUGUUGAAGCCGCUUUGUUUUUUUUUUGCGGUACACAACUGGUGGCACACGGAUUGCAAUACAAUGUUUGAUCAAUGUAUUAACGAAUACGACGUUUACAAUAAUUUCACGUACCGAUGUUCCAGCAAAACACGCCUAACGAAUUGACCGUGGUGUGCGUGUCGUGUAUUGUUGGUGGUCAUAGAGGCGAUUGUCUUACGUCGGAAUUACAAUCGCCCUUUGCAACAAACCAACAAACAAACAUCACACACGCGUCUUAAAUCUAUAUUGAACCUGUGCAGAUGCCGAAACAGGCGCGAGCAUUUGUCGGGCGCGCGCGCCGCCGCAGUCACGUGGUGGUACCGUGGGCACGCGCGCGCGUGCGUGCGCGCGGCCCCCUUGUAACCGCGUGCACGCGCGCGUGUGGCCAUGGUAACGGCGCGUGUGAGUGGCUGGACGACCCCCCCACACACACACACCCACGGCCCCGCAAUGCCUGGAGGGGGGGGGGGGCUUCAACGCCGCCGCUGACCGUGCAAAGGGGGUGAAGAGAUGUUCAAUAUAUAUAAAGGUGCAGACCUGCAAAUUUUCUCACAAUCUCCACUCAAAACAACACCGCGGGGUUGGUGGGAGCUGUAGGACGUCCACGAGAGGGAGCUUGUCGAGAACUCCACCUCGAGGUGCGGUCGGCGUUCUCUUCCACUCUGACCAAGACGUCUUCAAAGAGGUUGUUAAUACCCACACUUUGAAUGUGUCUUAUGUUGAACUUCUUUCGCACCGUACAUAG